rnacentral:rRNA from 1 species
GACGAACGCUGGCGGCGUGCUUAACACAUGCAAGUCGAACGAAGAGCGAUGGAAGCUUGCUUCUAUCAAUCUUAGUGGCGAACGGGUGAGUAACGCGUAAUCAACCUGCCCUUCAGAGGGGGACAACAGUUGGAAACGACUGCUAAUACCGCAUACGAUCUAAACUCGGCAUCGAGGAUAGAUGAAAGGUGGCCUCUACAUGUAAGCUAUCACUGAAGGAGGGGAGUGCGUCUGAUUAGCUAGCUGGAGGGGUAACGGCCCACCCAGGCGAUGAUCAGUAGCCGGUCUGAGAGGAUGGACGGCCACCUUGGGACUGAGACACGGCCCAGACUCCUACGGGAGGCAGCAGUGGGGAAUCUUCCGCAAUGGACGGAAGUCUGACGGAGCAACGCCGCGUGAGUGAUGACGGCCUUCGGGUUGUAAAGCUCUGUUAAUCGGGACGAAAGGCCUUCUUGCGAAUAGUGAGAAGGAUUGACGGUACCGGAAUAGAAAGCCACGGCUAACUACGUG